rnacentral:lncRNA from 1 species
UUUGAAAAAUGGGCUUAACUUCAACAUUUAUAUAGCAGCAGGAGACCAUUAUCUUGUGACAACACUUCAUUGCAUUGACAUUAUCUGUUAAUUAUCUUUGCCACCAUUAAUUUUGAGCCUGGUAUGCUAUAUACGUUGGCUCUUACCAGUUGUGUGACUGCUCUUUCUUCCUUCACUGAUAAGAUCUGGAAAAGAUACAAACUUUAAUUAAAAAUGAAACCCAGGUAAAGGUUACACUUUCACAAAGAUUUCUGGAGAUACUUAUGAUCAGAUGGAGUAAUUCAAAAUAACCAUCAGGUAUUCAGAAUUGCCUCUGCUUUACAUUGUUUGUGUGUUGCAUGCUACAGUUCCUCUCUCCUCAAUAUAUUUAUCCUUUUCAAAUGACCUGUGACUGAACUCCAUAUAGUUCUUACCUAAACAUCUUCCACUUCAUGAGUAACCUCUGCAGGCAUUUAAUAAGCAAGUAUUCUGUAGAAAUAUAUUUGAGGAGUAAACAGGAGACCACAUCAAAAAUAGAGAAAAAGUGGGUAAGAGAGAUCUUUUCCCUGAUAAAGGAAGAGAUGCAUCUUUUCCAAACUAUCUAAAUAAAACAUACAUCAAUUUUAGAAUUAUCAUCUUGCUUCUGGCAGUCUCUGAUUUAACUUUGUCUUCUUGUCUUCACACAGAGAUUUUAUAAAGCCCCUCAACCUACUAGUUCAGACCCUUUGUUCCUUAGGAUAUACUAUCUUCUUUUUCCUGUUACUUUUUCCCUGCCAAUUACAGUUCAAAAAAUGUUAGGGAAAAAAAAACUGCAUCUCUGCUUAACAUAUACAGACUUUUAUUUGUUAUUAUCCCCUAAACAACACAGUAUAACAGCUACUUAUAUAUCAUUUACAUUAUAUUAAAUAUUAAAUUUAAUCUAGAGGUGAAUUAAUAUAUUAGGAUGAUAUGCACAGAUUUAUACAAUAAUGUAUGCCAUUUUAUAAUUUUACAUAAAGGGAUUGGGCUUGUGCAGAUUUUGGUAUGGUGGAGGGCAUAGUCCAUUCUCCACAGAUACUGAGGGAUGAAUGAAUGCUGAACUGUUCUGCUAUGUUUUUCCCUUCUUAACUGUGCCUUUUCCACUCCUCCCUGCCACAGAUUAUCAUUGUUGAUACUCCAGAUCUCAACUACUGGGCAAGGAACAUGGUUUUGAGCCCAUUCUUACCUUGCUAGUGUCUCACUGGCACUGAAUCCUGUCCUUAUUUUCAUGGGACUGUCUUUCUCACAGUUCUGUCUCAUCUUAGUUCAGAUGUCUUUUCUGAAAUUUGCAUUAUAUAAGGACCCUAUCUUAUUCAGCUUUCUUCCCCAUUCCCCAAUAAAUUACCUUUAAUCUGCAAUUUCUGAUUUAUAUUCUUUAUAACAUUUAAGACUCUCUGAAGUAAUAACAUUAUUAAAAAUAUUUGCUGAUUGAUUUCCAUGUCCCUCUGUUACAAUAUCAGUACCACAAAGGUGAUAAAGUUUUUCACUUGACUGCUCUAUUUCCACCACAGAGAAUUGUGCCUGCAUAUAAAAAUUCAAAAUAAUAUUUACCAAAUAUAUGAAUGAAUAAGCAUAACCUCUCCCAGUCCCGCUGAGGGCAAUGCUUCAGAUUUGGAGAUUUAUAUCUCUAGUGCAUGAUUUUAUUCCUUAAUAGUUAGUCCUUCCCAUUGGCUGAAGAUUCCCAGAGUUGGAUUUUUUCUAAUCAGCACUGACUAUGGUAAAUAUCGCUAGUAGACACAAUCCCAUCAGAGCCACAUGUGCAUAGUUUAUGUGUCUGUAAACACUUCUCAUCUUAACUGUGUUGGGACUUUUGCCUACUAGUAUACUACUACUACUAUUUGCUGAAAAAAGGCUUUUAUUAUCCAGUUCUGCUUUGGAAAAAUUCAGGAUGAAAGGCACUUGUAAUUGUUAUAAAAGACCUAGGAAACUAGACAUGUGUGUACUUGCAGAGUACUUGGAGAAAAAGCUGUAUGGUGGAAUGGAUCAAUUUAUUUCAUUUAUUGAUGUAGCACUUCAUGCACUAAGAUUUCCUUUUAUAAUCUUUCCUGUCCUAAAUUAGUACUCUUUGUCUUAUUCUAUUGUUAAACAUAUAAGCAAUGUAGAGUUAUAGAACAUUCAAUAUUUUAAGCUCAAUUCCUUUUCCACUAAGUAAUACCUGUUAGCAGUCCUAAAAACAAUAUUCUGAUUUUAUUUCCUAUUUUCUUUCUUUUUGAGCUGAAAGCUAGUUUGUUAAUAUCUCUAAGUAACUGUGGCCCUUGAAAGUUGUCUUUUAUAAGCCUUUACUGAGCAACUACCCACAGGUCUGAAUAAUCUCAGUCUGCUUAUUUACAAAGUCAAAUGUCCUGUACUGUAUAUGUUGUAGGAAAGUAAAUGUUGAAUGUGGUGUUGUAAGGUCAGUGUAAGAUUAUGGGAAGAAAUGAGAACAAGAUCUGGGGAUUUGCAUUUCUCUAAUUGCUGGUGAUGAUGAACAUGUUUUCAUGUAUUUGUUGAGUGAUUGUACAUCAUUUUCUGAGAAAUGUCUCUUCAGGUCCUUGGCCCAUUUAUUGAUUGGGUUAUUUGUUUUCUUUUGGUGUUUAGCUUUUUGAGUUCUUUAUAUACCCUAGAGAUUAGUCAUCUGAUGUGUGAGGGGUAAAGAUUUGCUCCCAAAAUGUAGGCUUCCUAUUCAUCUUACAGAUUGUUUCUUUUGCUAAGAAGAAACCACUCUAAGAUUUCAUCUCACUCCUGUCAGAAUGGCAGCUAUUAUGCAUACAGACAAUAAUAAGUGUUGGCGAGGAUGUGGGGGAAAAGGUACACUCAUACAUUGCUGGUGGGACUGCAAAUUUGUUCAGCCAAUAUAGAAAACAGUAUGGAGAUUUCUUGGAAAAUUGGAAAUGGAACCACCAUUUGACCCAGCUUUCCCUCUCCUUUGUCUAUACCCAAAAUACUUAAAAAACAGCAUACUACAGGGACAUAGCCACAUCAGUCUUUAUAGCAGCACAAUUCACAAUAGCUAAACUGUGGAACCAAAAGAUGAAUGGAUUAAAAAAUGUGGCAUAUAUACACCAUGUAAUAUUACUCAGCAAUAAAAGAAAAUAAAAUCAUGGCAUUUGCAGGUAAAUGGAUGGAGUUAGAGAAGAUAAUGCUAAGUGAAGUUAGCCAAUCCCAAAAAAACCAAAUGCCGGAUGUUUUCUUUUAAAAUAAGGAGGCUGAUUCAUUGUGGGAUAGAGAGCAGGAGCAUGGGAGGAAUAGACAAACUCUAGAUUAGGGCAGAGGGCUUGGAGGGGAAGGGAGGGGGCAUGGGGUUAUUAAUGAUGGUGGAAUGUGGUGAUUAUUAUUAUCCAAAGUACAAGUAUGAAGACAAUAAUUGGUGUUAAUAUACUUUGUAUACAACCAGAGAUAUGAAAAAUUGUGCUCUCUAUACAUAAUAAGAAUUGUAAUGCCUUCCACUAUCAUAAAUAAAUAAUAAAAGAUCUGGGGAAAAAGUCUGUAAUACUUAAAGGUCCCAGGAAGAGGGCUAGUGUGUGUCAGUAGGGCCACCAGGGAUGCACCAGGUUUUGGUCAUGAGGCAGAAGACAAGAGUAGAGCAAUAGUCUAGGCCAUAGCCUUUUGGGAUUCCUAUGAGAAAGGCAAGGCAAGUCAGAACAAAGAAUUUGACAGUUUCCUGGCCUGAUCCUGAACUGACUAUGGGCAAGAGAAAUAAUGGUUUGGUGUGUGAUAGCUCAGGGGGCGAUUCAGGCUAUCAACUUGAACUUGGUUGACUUAUUUAAGAUGGGCUAUUUCCUGUCUAAAGAUUGACUAUCCCCAGCAGGGGCAAUCUCUUUGGGGACAGCAAACUUUUUAAAAUUACAAAGCAUCUUAAGAUAUACAGAAGAAUUUUUUUUAAAACUUAAUAAAUAUAGUAUAGUUCCGUAAUUAAUCUAUUCAAUAAAAUAAGUUCUGUUAUGAACUUCAUGAACAAAUCCAAAAAUGAAAGUAGAAAAUAAAACAUUUAAUUACUGGUAAACAGAGAAUUUAGCAAAGGAGAAAAAUUUUGCAAAUAUAGCAAAGCACAAAUAGAUGAGUAGUGCAAAAGGAGAUUAUUUUUGUAGACAAGUAGAUCAAUAAAAUCCUAGCAAUGAACCCAUCAGUUACUGAAGUUAUUAAAUUGCCCUUUUAUCAGUGUUCUCAUUACUUGGAAACAUUUUUUAAAUGAUAAUGUAUGUUGUGUCUCUGUGUGUGUACACAUAAUUCUUUUUUUUUUGAGUUAUUAUUGAAACUUUACUUUCUCCUCCUUAUUGAUAUGCAUACUUUAGAACAAUAGCAUAAUCUAUGAUUGCUUUUUUAUUUUUAAAUGUAGGGUGUUUUUUUUUUUAUCCCCAAGGAACAUGCAUAAAAGAGUGUUUCUCUCAUAAACUUAUAACACUAAAAAGCAUUUCAGAAGACCAGCUGACAUUACUGUCUUCUUUUAAAAAUAAGGAAUUUGGAGCAAAGGAAAAAUGAAGCAAGUUGCCUAUUAUGGUCUGAAUGUGAGGUAUCUCCCAAAAGUUCACAUGUGAGACAAUGCAAGAAAGUUCAGAGGAGAAAUGAUUAGUCCAUUAGAAAUGAUUUGGUUGUGAGAGUCUUAACGCAAUCAGUGAAUUAACCCUGGUUAGGGAUUAACUGAGUGGUAACUGAAGUGGUAGGGUGUGGCUGGGGGGAUCUGGUAAUUCGGGGCGUGGUUUUGGGGUAUAUAUUUGUAUCUGGCAAAUGAAGUCCUCUCUCUCUCUCUGCCUUUUGAUCAUCAUGUGAGCUGCUUCCUUCUGCCACACUCUUCUGCCAUGAUGUUCUGCCUCACCUCAAGCCUGGAGGAAUGGAGCUGGCCUUCUAUGGACUAAGUCCUUGAAAACUGUGAGUCCCCAAAUAAACUUUUCUUCCUCUAUAGUUGUUCUAGUUGAGUCUUUAAGUCAAAGCAACAUAAAAGCUAACUAAAACACUGCCCAAGUGGUGUCUACUUAUUGAAAAUAGACAUACAUGAUAUGUAGCUUAGUGCCUGAUAGAUGGCAAAAAAACAACAACAUAUGGUUACUGAAUACAACGUAGUAUAUAAAAGUCUGCUGAGUAUGUGACCACGGAAGUGAAGUAUUCUCUAAUAACCAAAUACAAGUGCAUCCUUUCUUGCUUUUUUUUGAGAUAUUUUUAAUGAUUUGUAUGCUAUAUAGUUCAGAUAUUAGGUGUCCCCCAAAAGCUCACCUGAGAGACAAUGCAAGAAUAUUCAGAGGUGAAAUGAUUGGGUUUUAAGAGUAUUAAACCAAUCAGUGAAUUAAUCCCCUGAGUAACAGUAGGCUGGGGUGUGGCUAGAGGAGGUGGGGGGGUCCCUGGGGACAUGCCUUUGGGGCUAUAUUUUAGUGAGCUGACCUUAGCGUCUCUCUCUCUCUCUCUCUCUCUCUCUCUCUCUCUCUCUCCCUCCCUCCCUCCCUCCUUUCUGAUCAUCAUGUAAGUCACUUCCUUCUACUACACUCUGUCUUACAUUGAGCCCCCAGCAAUAAGCCUCUGAAACUGUGAGACCUCUGAAACUGUGAGCCCCAAAUAAACUUUUCCUCCUUAAAAUUGUUCUUGUCAGGUCUUUUAGUCAUAGUAGUAAAAAAACUGACUUAAACAGUGCUUUGUUAUGUGUUUAUACCUGUUCAGUGCUUUGUUAUGUGUACCUGUGUGUGUCUAUUUCUUUCCUUUCUUAUAUAAAAUAUUCUUGGUCCAGCACUAGGGUGGAAGAUACAGAGAAGCCUGACAUGUAGGAAUAUAAUAUUUUUCAAUGGGAAAAUACUCUUUUCUUUAUCCUUAAGUGAAAAACAAGUGCAGUCUCUCCUAAUCAGACUUUAGUUAGAAUUGAACUGGUAAAUACUGUGGGAAUAAGUUAAUACAACUUAAAGUUGUCGUAUUUCACUACUUAAAAAUAUUUGAGUCACUAUGUCAUCAUAAAAUACAUUUUUAAAAAAGUGCUAUUAAGACAAAAUGUAUCUAUCUAUCUAUCUAUCAUGUAUCUACAUACACACAAAUAAUGUCAACAGGUUCAGGCCUCCAUGAAUAUAAUUUACUUCUGAACAUUAUACUUUUAAUAACAAAGCCUCAGAAUAACAAAAAAAAAUUGACCUAACUAUAAACAUUAGUGGACAAGUUAAUCAUCAUGAUGUAAGAUUUCAACAUAGAUAUCUAAAUAAGUGCCAAAUUAAGCACAUAAAAUUAAUAAAGAUAUAGAACAGAACUGAUAAACUUGAUAAAUUGGAUGAUACAAAAUAAAAACUCAAGCAUUCAUAGAAUAUUUACCAAGAUUGACCAUUCAUGUCAUAAAUUAAUUCUCAAAAUUUAAAAAUAACUGAUAAAUAGAAAAUAUAUGCUGACUAUAAUUUAAUUAAAAAUUAAUAAGAUAAAGAUAAUAUUUCUAAAUACUCUGUGCAACUAAGAAGAACUUAAAAAAGACAUAGCAUAUUCAGAAGUAUGUUGUAAAUACCAUAUAUUAAGCCAUAUGAAUGUAGCUAAAAUAGCACAUUAAAGGAACCACAUAGUCUCAGAUGUAUAUUGAAGAUAAAAAUAAGUACUCAAAAUUCAUAAGGUAAGCAUUUAACCUAACAGGUUACAAAAAGAUAACAAUAAAUGUAAUACAUAAAAGAAAAAAUAAAGAAAAUAACUUAAUGAGAUAGGGAACUUCCACUUCUGAAAUGUUGUUGUACUUGGUACUAGGCUUGCCUUCUGCUAGAAUGAAAGAGGGAAGGAAGGAGAGAAGGGAAAAGAAAAAAGAAAAAGAAACAGCAGAAGAAAGAAAGAAGCACAAAAUAUAUGAGAAAUAGUUGUUUUCAAACAUUGGGCAACAGACAUCAAAAGAACUAUUCUUCCUGAGAGAAUAUGAACCAAAAAAAGAAAAGAAAAAAUACUGUGCGUUUCUGUUUGAAGGCUUUUUUGGUCCCAGAAGGAUACUGUCUUGUGUUAGGGCCGGAGAAAGCUACCAGGAGAAAGCUAUCUCUGGACUGAGAUCUCUGAGAGUGUAAGCCCCAAAUAAACUUUUAACCAGGAGAAAGCUACCUAAAUAGGGGGGAAGAAAUUUGUUACGUUUUACCCUGAACCCUUUACCCCUGCAAUGCAGUGAUAGUCUUGAAAUGACAGCCCACAAGUCCAGAGUGGACACCUAGUCUUUGUUCCUAAGAAAUUACAUUUGUCUGUUUUAUCUUCUCUGUGGGUUCUCUGAGGGACUGACAUAAUUUGCUUUUGUUUUGCCUAACUUGGAAAUCUCAGGGCAGAGAAAGAGCUAUGGCUACAGAGAGCAGAUUCCCUGAAAAUAUUGAAAUAAAAAUGAAUAAGCUAUUGCUACCUGAAGCAAAAAGUAUCAGUUGAAGCAAAUAAUAGGCACAUGGAUAUUUGGAAAGGAAAAGCUGAGAAGUUAUGAACUUCAAGAACUAAGGGGUUUGAAAAGCCCCUUGUAUGUGUACCAGGGAACUUAGAAAGCUAUUCACAUGUCCCAGGCAUGAUACAUGCUCAGAAAAGAGCCUGCAAAACAUUAGGCUUUCACUGCUAGUUGGUCUUUAGCUUCAGGGAAAGCAGGAAUUGAAGGCUAAGAUAGUUUAAAUAGUUGGCUAAUCAUUAAAGGAGUGCCUCCAAAUCUGAGCAAAUCAGAAAAGACCUGUAGAGUUUCUCUUUCUUUCUUUCUUUUUUUUUUUUAAUAUUAUAAGAUUCCAAAUGCCUAGCUUCAACAACAACAACAACAACAACAACAAAAGAGGGAAGAAUGGGAAACAAUGACCCAUUAUUAGGAUAGAUGAACAGAAAUUGCCCCUGAAGAAGUGUGAAUGUGAAGUUUGCUAGACCAAGACUUUACAUCAACUAUCUUAAAUAUACUUAAAAAGGUAAAGGAAAUAACUAAAGGAAAUAAGGAAAAUGAUGUUUCACCAAACAGAAAAUAUCAGUAAGGGCAUACAUUUGCCUCUCUGCUUCAUGUCCAACUAAUCUACCUCACCCUCACUCCACUCCACACAUCCUUUUUAACUCUUAUUCUUUGUAUAGUCAGAUUUUGCCUCCAAGUCAGAAACUUUGUACCAACUGUUCUGUCUAUCUAGGAUUCUUUUCUCCCACAUAUCUGUGUGGUUCACUUCUUCAUCUCCUUCCAGUUUUUCUACCUUCCUAAUGAGGCCCACCAACUUUCCUUCCUCAUUUGACACUGUAUUAUUGAUCUUGCUUAUCCUAAUAAAUUUAUAGCUAACAUACCAAAAAAAAUUAAAUAGCUGGCAUGCAUCAAGAGUAUUUUCUGUUUUGUUCAUUGAUAUUAUCCUAGAAUAGUUCCUUAGUAAGUAAUUUUUGAACAUGCCUCCACCCUCAAAUUAAUAGAGACUCAUAAUUUAAAAGCAAAUUCUAAACAAGCUAGGAAUAGAAAUGAAUUUCCCAGGAAAACAUGAAAACAAAUCUAAAUUUGAAAUGAGACAAGGAAGUCUAUUUUAGCCACUUUUAUUUAACAUUGGAACACAGGUACUAGAUAGCAUCCACAUACAAGAAAAUAAAAAUAAAAUCGUAAAGCCAGACUUCCUUGGUUUAAAUCUCACCUUUACCAUAUAUAUUUUAUGGCUUUGAGUAAAUUGUUUAAUUUCUUAGUGCCAUUUUCUAAUUUAAGAAAGGACUAGUGGUAAUUAUAUAGAUCUCCACCAAGUUAUUGUUAGACUUAAUUUAAUUUAAAGGAUUUAGAAUAAUACCUGGCACAUAGGAAGUAUUAUAUAAAGGUUAACUAUUUUUAUUAUUGCAAAAGCAAUGUAAAAAUUUAUAGAAUUACUACAUAUAAGAAAGAAAGAAAAGGCUAAAGAUUAAAAAUAAUAGUAAUAGCAUGAAAAUCCUAAUAUAUUUAUUUAGGAAUAAGCCUACCAAAUUUGUAAGACAGUUAUUAGACUCUGCAGAAAUGAAGGCUCGGUCACACCUCUAGACAAAGCACCCAGACUUACCAAGGUGAUAGUGAAGGGAAGGAAAAAUAUGAAUGGACAGUGGGGAUGAUGAGUGUCAAUUACAACUCCAUCACUAAGUGUGGUAAUCAGGGUUGUGGUUAUAACCUCUUCUCUUUCUUAUAAGUUUUCUCUUAGUCAGGACCUCAUAGAAAUGUGGAGGUGUGGAGUUAUGUUCCACCCCUUUGAGGUUAUAGUAUCUACUAUCUUUCAAACUAUUUCAAAUUCUUUUUGGAAAGUUUGCUUUUUCUCUUCCAUUCAUCUAUUUAUUCAAUCAUUUUCUGUCAGUAUGGACACAAAAGUACUUAUUUUAUAUUUUGGGUUGUAGUCUAAAUUUGCUAUAUUUUGUUACUGAAAUUGUUCUCACUUGGACCAUGGGAACAUCUUUUAUUUGGUUCUUGUAUCCCUCUGACAUAUCACCAUCAUUGUGUUUUUUUUUUAAUAUUCAGUUUUUGUUUUUAAAAGAAACUUUAAAAAAAUUUUUUUUGUUGUAGAUCGACAGAAUGCCUUUAUUUUUUUUAUUUUUAUGUGGUGCUAAGGAUCGAACCCAUUGCCUCACACGUGUUAAGCAAGUACUCUGCCACUGAGCUACAGUCCCAGCCCCUACUGGAUACUGAAUUGUGGUUUGGCCACUUUUUUUCUUUCAUUAGUCAUUAUUUUUUUCUGUUUUAUUUUCCUUCAUUUAUGUCAAAUUGUUUGACAGAGUCAAAAGGUAACACAGGACAUCAUGUGGCAAGAAAUGGGGAGCUUGCGUGUGUGUGUGUGUGUGUGUGUGUGUGUUCUGGUCUCUCUCCCUCUUCCCACUAUUAUGUGUUUCUAUGAAUUUGACUAUUUUAUUUUCUAUAUGUAUGUGAGAUCAUUCAGUAUUUGAAUUCCUGUGACUGGCUUGUUUUACUUAAUGUAUUGUCCACCAAUGUCCAUCUAGGUUAUGAACUGUGGCAAGAGGGGACAGGAAAUGGUUAGGUGAUGGUUAAUGGAUAUAGAAUUUCAGUUAUAUCAAAAAAUAAAGUUUGGAGAUUUUCUACACAAGAUUGUACUUACAAUUGUGCAUUAUGUCCUUAAAACUGUUCAGAUAACAGAACUUAGGUUUAAUGUUCUUACAAAAACAAACAAAACCAUAACAAAAGGGACAGGAGUAAACUUUGGGAGCAAUAGACAUAUUAUGGCCUUGAUGGUGAUGAUGGGUUCAUUAAUGUAUAUUUUUCUUUCAGUUCAUUAAGAUAUACAAGAAAUAUUUACAGUUGUUUGCAUGUCAAUAAUACCUCAACAAAAUGUUCUUAAAUUAACAGUUUCAAUAUCAUUUAUUUAUUUUGGUACCGGGGAUUGAAUCUAGGUGUACUUUACCACUGAACCACAUCCACAGUCCUUUUUAUUUUUUGAGACAGGGUCUAAAUUGCUAGGGCCUCACUAAUUUGUUGAGGCUGGCAUUAAACUUGGAAUCCUCAUGCCUUAACCUCCAAAAUUGUUGGGAUUUCUGGUGUGCACACCGACACCUGGCAGUAAUUUUAUUUUUGUAAUGAUGCACCAAAAAUAAGUGUUUAAUACUUUUUGAGCAGAAACAGUACUAUUUCUUUUGUCCUUGACAUAUAGCCAGCAGACUUUCUUAGGCUAACAAGGAGGCAGGCAGAUUUAAAGAUUAUGGAAGUUGAAAGUAGAAUAUUUUAUAUUAAUCUUGAGAAAUACUGACAUCUAAAACUGGAAAGAUCAUAUUGAUAUUCACAUAGAAUAAUGUAUGGUAUAUCUUUUUAAAGUAAAUUGAUACACAAUUAACCAGGGGUUAUUGACAGGGUCAUGAAUUAUGGCAUUCAGGAUGUAUUAAACAAAUCUCCUUUCUGUGGGCACUGAAUUUCUAUAUUUGCUUAAAUUUAGGAUGCUUUAUCAUAUUCAUUAUUUCACUGAUAUCAUCACUCAUAUAUUCAUUCAAUCAGUAAAGUUUUAACAUCCUGGGAAAAAAGAUUAAUGUCUAUGAUAGAUAAAUAUAAAAUUACCUCUUUUAAUAGUAUCCUUAUAUCAUAAUAGUAUAACUAAUAUAUUUAUGAGAAGUAUUUAAGUUUUAGAAAAGAUUUACACCUAUUUUGUUGCAAGAGCUCUCUGAGGAUGGUAUAACAAAUAUUUAUGAUUUCAGGCAUUCAUGCUGGUAGCCCGAGAUUCUUUUUUUAGUUGCAGAAUUAAAUAAACCAUAUACAUCUCUUGUAUCUAUGUUCCAGAUGGAACAUAAGAGUUUAUUUUUAUAGCCACUAGAAUAAAAAAGCUCAGUAAUGAACUAUUUGACAAAAGCAGUUCAUUAAAAAUGGACAACAAUACUGAAGGAUUCAAAGAACAGGCACUAGAACUACAGGAGCUUAACGAAACACAUUUCUGUGUGGAAGAUUAUUCAAAUGUGAUUUGUAGUUAUUUAUUUGAUAAAAAAGAUGCAAGGUUGAAAAUUUUGUGCAGAUGAGUAACAGAAAUGAAGUCACAAAGACACAAUAUUUUUUCUGGAGAGAAACAUAAAGAACAUAUACUUCAGAUGAGAACAAGUGUCUGUGUAUGCUGAUCACAACUGCUUUCCUGAUAAAAUUACUUAGGGCAGUAGUGUUACCUGUGUGGCUACCCAUACAAUACGACAUUAGGAUCAUCAAUUUCUUCUAAAAAAUUAAAAGUGAAUCUAUUUGAAAUGCCUUUUGUCACUGUACAUUAAAUAAAUAGCAACUGCAUCUUAGUUUUCAGCAGAGGGCACUGGAACACAUUGUGGGACAAAAUGAGGUAAAGGAAAAAGUAAUCCACACACUACAGGUUUAAAAAAUGCCCUGUAUUUUAAAUAAGACAAUAUUAAUGGACAAAUGAAAAACUUACUAACUUUUUGUUAGUGUCUCCCACCAUCAUGGAUUUGUGGAAAUUUCCUUUUCUGUUUUAGUCCUCAAAAGAUCUACAUUAUUCCUUCACAGAAUGUUGCAAGUAGCCUAUUACAAUUUGGUGAUAGUGUCACUCAUUUAUAUGGAUUAGGUAUUUUGAUAUGAUAAAAAAUUAACAAUGCUUUAAUAAAAUAAAUCGGUCUCUACACAUAAUAAACUGGAUUUGCCAGGCCUUAAAUUGACACUCUUUGUUUUAUCUACAAGUUCAUUAAAGUAUGUAUGAUAUGGAAACAGCUUUGUUUCUGCCACAAGCUAGGUGAUAAAGAUAAAACUCCUUUAUGUUAUUGCACUUAAUAUAGAUAACAAGACUUCUAAUGGAUUUAAUAACCUGUUUUUUAUGAGUAUUCAGUAAAGGAGGUAACCUUUUCAUUUUUGUAAGGCUAUUGUAAUAGUUACAUAGUAUUAUAAUAUUGAGACAAAAGUUCUUUUGAAAACUUCAGUUUCAAAGAAAGAUAAAAUGCAUGAGUAAAAAGUGACAACCAACGUGAAAUAAUGAGUAUCUGUUGUGAAUUACUUUCUUAAUAGGUACAUUUUAAAUGAAAACAAACUAAUUAUUUUGAUUAUUAAUUUUUAUAUGAGUCUAUACCAGAUGUAAGAGUUUAAAAUUUUGGGAAGUAUUAUGUUACAAAUUUCAGUGUCCUUUCUUACCCAAUUUUGGAAUUUUACUCAUGAAAUGAUACUUGCACUGAUGGAGUCAUUUUAUUUAUGUUGUAAUAGCAGUGUACUUUUCACAGAUUACUGUCCUUUAGUGGAGAAAGAACAUCUUUGAUGUUCUCUAUGUUUUAAAAGGUGGGCAUUUAUAAAUGCAGAGUGAUGAGUCACAGUUAAUUAAAUCAAACUUCUUUACACAUUUAAAACAAGCAAUUUUGCUAUUGAAGAAAUGGUCUAUUUUAUACACAAUGUACAGAAGGAAAAAUAUACAGCAAGUUUUAAAUCAUUAUUUUUGCUUUGCCUACAGGAUGUACUAUGAUGAAAAUAGAACAAAAUAUAAUAUUAAGUCAGGCUUUCCACAUAAGAGUGUUUCACCACAUAAUUUGUUACAGAAAUUAUGCCACUUUAUUUUGCAAAAAAAAAAAAAAAUGUGGUGCAAUCAUUAUGUGAAGUUUUUUUUUUUUUAAAACUGUGUUGUUGUUACUUAAACACCAUUUAUUUAUUACUAAUUGUCUUUGGUGCAAGAGUAGGACGCAUGAAUAUACAUUAAAGCAAUGGUGAUAAGUAUGCUGUGAAACGCAGGAUAGUUUUUCUUUACUCCAUGGCAACAAGUUGCCAUCUGUAUAGCAAGUAGAGCCAAAGAGGUAAAAAAAAAAAAAAAAUAAUGUUACUAGUUCUAAACCAACACUAACCCAAAAUAAACCACAGUUUUAAAACAGAAAAAAAUUCUAAAUCUUAUAAGAGCAAAGAUGAUGUGAUGUUUUUUUUCUGGCGCUUUGGCAGUACCAUGGAAAUGAAAGGUCAAAAAAUAUUGUCAAAAUUCAAAAUUUCAUUGGAAAUUCUUGGGUCAGACAAAAUGAUAUCAUGGCAAUUUUGACUAAACAUCAGCUCAGUGGAAUUGCAAUUUUCCUCCCUAUAAAUUUUAUACUUUUAAAUGGCCUUGGGUCUGAUUACUUGUUAGUUAUAUUGUUUUGUGUUCAUUUUCCUGUUUUCUCAUAUAUUUUAUCUGAUGCAAGACAUUUUAAAUGCUUUUAAAAUAUUCUUGUGCGAGAAAGGGAUGUCUGCUUUCUCACUUUUUUAUGCGUGGAAACUAAGGCAUGAAAAUCUUAAAUAACCAAUUAGUCAGCAACAGAAUGAGUUAAGUCUUCUUUUACCCUAACUUUGGCAACAAAAAAAAAUUUUGUAGAAAAAUUGGAGUGCUAUAAUGUGCAACAUGGAUCAUUCCAUUGUUUUCCAUAUUUUUUGUCUGGCCUGUGGUUAACCAAAGUUUAUUGCUAAGUAAGGCAGUACCUCAGGCUUUAUGGAAAAGAAUUAUCUGAACAUUUAAAAAAUGCCCUUUUCACAUAACCAUGUAAAAAUCUUUAAAACAAUGUAGAUAUGACUGGGAAACAAAGUUUUUACUUCCUAUUUCCAACUUUACUUUCUUUUUCUGCAACAUAAUGCACAGGAAGAUAAACAUUUGCCUAGAGCCCAUAAACUCUUUGAGUUGUCUUCAAAACACAGCAACACAGAAAAAAUUCAAACCAAAAGGAGAGGGGACAAAAGAGUGAACAGCCUUUUAAAGAGUUUUCUUUAGGUCUGCUGGCUCAUUCUCAUUCAAACUGUCUUCUAACUCCUAUUAUGCAUACUAUAAUUUUCUUUUAAGCUCUGCUCAAAUGAUCCCACGUUUACUUUUUUAACACAUGGUUUAUUAUAUAAAUUUAAAACAUACAAUGUAAAGUGAGUAGUCGAAUAUACCUAUAACCCAGACACAACAUCUGCUAACUAUGUGCUUUUUAAAAAUAUUUUUAGUUGUCAAUUUUAUUUUAUUUAUUUAUGUGUGGUGCUGAGAAUCGAACCCAGUGCCUCAUACAUGCUAGGCAAGUGCUCUACCACUGAGCCACCACCCAAACCCCUAAUUAUGUGCUAUUUUUCUUUUUUCUAUAUUUCUACUCUUUCCCAGUUCAGUCCCACUUUAUUUACUCUCAGAUGAAAUCAGAUAUACAGAUAUUAAAUGUAAAAAUAAAAAUCUAAAUACUAUCUUGCAUCUGAGGAAGGAAAAUGUUGAUUGGGAUAGACCAGAGAAAUUUUAUUUGGGAUAUUAUAAAUAUUCUAUGUUUAAAACCAUAUUUAUUUUAUUUAUUUAUUCUUUUUUUAAGAGAGAGAGAUAAUUUUUUAAUAUUUAUUUUUCAGUUUUUGGUGGACACAACAUCUUUAUUUUAUUUUAUGUGGUGCUGAGGAUCGAACCCAGCACCCUGCGCAUGCCAGGCAGGCACGCUACCGCUUGAGCCACGUCCCCAGCCCUAUUUAUUUAUUCUUUUAAAAAUUUUUUAUAUUUAUUUUUUAGUUGGAGUUGGAGACAACACCUUUAUUUCACUUAUUUAUUUUUUUAUGUGGUGUGAGGAUCUAACCCAGGAUCUUGCACAUGCGAGGUGAGCGCUCUACUGCUGAGCCACAACCCCAGCCCCCCCAAAACAUAUUUAUUUUUAUAGAGAAUGCACAGUGUGUCUUUGUGAGGACUCUCAAAGCGGGGUUACGUUAAUGGUGACUUACAACCUUCAUGUUUGGAGGAAACUUGAGAAGAGGUUUAGAAAUAGUUUGCUCUGACUGGGAGCUAUUUUAUAAUUCUAUUAUUGAAACUUAAUUUCAGUGAAAUCAAGAAAUAAACAAAAGGGAAAUGAUAUUUAUUUGUUAGCUUCUUCACUACGGUUAUUUAAUACACAUCUUUCUUCCUCUGGCAAAAUUUAUUUAUGCCAGCAUAGAUUCAGUGAAUAGAUAGGAAAUGAAUCAAUGUACUUUUCAUUUUCUUCACCUAUUAAGCUUUACUUUAAAGCGAGUUGAAUUAUCACCAUCAUAUUUAGGAAGACUAAAUGUAUUAAAAAAUUUAAAGGAGAAUCAUCUUUACCUUCUGCCCGUACACAGAUAGCAUAAUUGUUUGUCAUCAUUCCACCCAAAGAAGAAACCCUUCUAUUUUCCAGAGGGGGGAAAAUUAUUUAUUUAUUUAUUCUAUUGUCAGUUUUAUGUCAUAUUGUUAAGCAUAAAAUUAGUGUAGGGAGAAUGUGGUAUUAGUUCUUUAAGACCUUAUGUUUGGAAAUGGUUGCUAAAUUGAGUAUUUGGAACUGUCCUUGUCUCUGUAUUUAACUUUCCCUCUUAAUGUGUUCAGGAUCAAAUGAAUCUCUUUGACAUGGGGGAAACAGGAAGCAUAGCUGCCUCAGUGUAAAAGAGCCUGAUCCAUUGUCAAAUCCCACUCCCCUUGGCCCUUCCUACCACUUCCCAGCUCAUUUGCUGCAUGGUUGAUUCUGACUCACCAAAACCUGAUCUUCUUGUUCAAAUGAAGCUUCUAUCCUAACUUUUUUUCCUUCAGAACCUUUUGCCUGUUUGGGUGUUUUUUUGUUUUGUUUUUGGUUUUUAUGGUCCAAAUUUAGCAUGAAUUCAGAGGAGAAAGAAAUUGAGAUAAUUUGGGUUGAAGUCUUCAUUUUCUUUGACCCCGGUAAUUGGAAAUCUUCCUGUACCACUCUUCCUGAGUGUACUUCAUUGCUGUCUUCAUCCCUCCCUUGACUGUUCCUUACCAUCUUUUCCAUUCUCCUAGUCAUAGUUUUUCCUGACAUUAGUCUUCAUCUUGCUCCCCUGGAGGUUAUUUUUUUCUGAUAACAUACUUAAUAGAUUGCAGUUGGUCAAUAAUUAAUUAAUGAGCAUGAGUAAAUUUAUUUAUAAGUGGAUUUCUAAUUUUUAAAUACUAAUUAUUUUGGCAUUCUAAAACCCACCUACUUUGCUAAAUAAACAUUUUGGAGUACCUGAGGUACAGUGUACUUAGUUAUAAACUUCAGAUGAUAUAAGUUGAGGAGAUGUUUUAUUCCAAGAAGCUUAUAGUGGUAGAAAUCACAGAUAUACCGCAACCCAAUGAAACCAUAGAAAUCUUAUAAUUCCUCCCACACAUUUUACAUACACGAGAAAUGAGAAAUAGGAAGGUUAUAAUUUUUACAAGGUUUAAAGGGGAUUAAGUAGGGAAGUCUGGACUCCAUAUUACAAAAUGCAUACGGAAAGAUAAGCAUGUGUUAAAAUAAGUGCCUGACGGACUGAGAGAUGCUCUAUGACAGAAACACCAGCUAGUGUUCCAUGAUUAUGGGGGACUCUGUGCUGUGAGGACAAGAGUCCCACCCUGAAGACCAUCCCAGAGCACCCUUUGCUGUGUGACCUUGUGAAAGUUGUUUAAAGUCAGAGACUGUUUUUCCAUUUGUAAAAAAGGAUGGAAUAAUGAAAACUUUGCAAUAUCAUAUGAGUUUAAAAUACAAAAACUUAACGCUAGUUUUGGUUUUUGUGAUGAAGGCAUAGCAUUCCAUGAAUUUAAACAAAUAACAAAGCAGAUUUUAUAAUCAGCCAAAUGUAUAUGCAUGUAUGUACAUGUUGCCUGCAUUCUUAGUAUUAGUUCCUUUUGAAAAGUUACAUUUCUUGGUUUGAUGUCUAAUAACAGUUGCGCUAUUCCGCCUCCCCAAGAGUUAGAAGACAGCAUAUCUAUGACAGAGGAAAUCCUAGAAAAGAGAUCAAAACUAGAUUUCAACUUGGUGAGAAAUGUAUUUGAGAGAAGGAAGGAGGAUUAAAAUUGAAGGGCAAAAGGUUUAUUUCCUUUCUAUAGGUAGAUAUAAUCUUAAAACCAAAGGAAAAAGAAUAGAACUGAACAAGAAUGUAAUGGGGAAGAAAAGGGCAAAAUGAAGAAUAAAAUUGAGGUCAUGCCUUAAAGUUGCAUAACUUCAGAAAACACAGCUUCCUGAAAUUGGCAAAGUCAUAUAUAUUAAAGCUUUGUGCAAACUGUAUUAUAAAGUAUAAUUUCAUUGUCCAAGGGAUAAAUGGCAAUUUAUUCUUUUAUAGAAAAAAUACCAUCUUUUCUUCCUCCUACAGUUUUUAUUCAUAUGUUUGUAAGACAUUAAUUAAAAUUAUGCAACUUUUAAUUAAAGUGGAGGGGGAGGGAGAUGUAGAUCCUUGCUGACUUUGGAUUUGUAAACAAGAAAUAAGUAGGUCUCAGAAGAGUACUACUGAUUUUUCAUAAUUCUUUUUAUAUCUGAGUGGUAAAUUAUUCUUUAAUCUCAGCUCUAGAAUGGAAGCUAUAGAUUAAAAAUAAAAUAUAAUGGUCUGUAUGAGAUUAAAAAAAAUCAUCAGAGCUUUGUGAUACAUUGCAUAAAGUAGGCUUGAGAAGUGGCAAAGAUGACCUCUAAGCUUGUGGUAAAUGACAGGACUCUUUACUACUGUAGGAAACAUUGGAGAACUGGGUUUGUUUUUUAACAUAGUUAGAUGCUUUUGAGACAGCCACAGGAAACUGCAAAUUGCUGGUGGACACAGGCUUCUGGAACUCUACAAUGGGGAGGAGGAAACAAGUAUUAACUAUGGUCAAUUAGCCAGUCGUUUUGGCACAUGCAUGUAGUCCCAGUGACUGAGGCAAGAGGAUCUCAAGUUCAAAGCCAGCCUUAGCAACUUGGCGGGGCACUUAGCAACUCAGUGAGACCCUGUCUCUAAAUAAAAUACAUAAAAGGACUGGGGAUGUGGCCCAGUGGUUAAGUGCCCCUGGGUUCAAUCCCUGGUACAAAAAAAAAAAAGGUCAGUUAAAGAUAACUUCAAAUCUUUGAUAUUUGUACAUUUACAAAAUAACAAAAUACAUAUUCCUUCAUCUUAAGUUAAGGCAGACUCUCUGCUUUGAGAAAUAGAACACACUGGAAAUGAUUUUGUGGCAAUCUUCAGACCUAAUAAUGAAGACAUCUAAUAAUGAAGACAUCUAUGGUUCCUAAUUCCUGUCUCUUAGAAUAGUCUGUUAGGGAUUACAGCUGAGACAUAAGAAAUCUGACUUGAGAAUACCAUGCUGUGAGAAAGCCCAGCUGGAGAAACAAAGAGCAGAAGGAAAGGUCAGCCAGCCUCCACUACCAGCUACCUCUACCCAGGAGCUAACUAUGUGAUUGAAGAAGCCUCUUCAACAUUCCCUAUUACAUAGUAGCAGAAAGUGUUGCAACACUGUCAGCUGAGACAACAGGGAAAAUGGAAAUUCACCUAUUGAACUGAUAAUCUAUUUAGGCAAUUCCUAAAUAGCUAUCAAAAAUAUCAGCCUAUUUUGUUGUAAUAAUAAAAUGUAAAGAAAGAUGCUUUAAAAACCCCACUUUUAUGAGAAAUUUAAAGGCAAUGUAAAAGAAUUAGAAGUUGCUUAGAUAGAAAUAAUACCAUUUUAUUUUUAUUUAUUUUUUUAUUUGUUUUAAUUAGUUACACAUGACAGUACAUUGACCUUGACAUAUCAUACAUUUGAAUCAGAUGGGAUAUAAUUUCUCAUUUUUCUGAGUGUACAGGUUGCAGAAUCAUAUGGGUCAUGCAGUCACAUAUAUACACACAGUAAUAAUAAUGUCUAUUUCAUUCUACUUACCAUUUUAUUUUUUAUUCCCAAUCUCUUUUAUCAGAAGAUUCUCACAGUAAGACAUAUCAAUAUAGUAUAAGGGCAAAUUCAAAUCCAUAAUGCUAUCAGGAAAACAUGGUUUCUGGAUAAAAGAUAUGCUGCAUUUGGAAAACACUGUGAAGAGCCCAGAAAAUUUAAGUGCAUUCUUUGCAGAUACUUUGCAUUAGGCAAUAUGAUUUUUAAGAACCUUCUUGGGUCAUUUGAAAGUCUUCUCUACACUAAAUUUAGUACACAUAAGAUUUUGAAUGAAAGGUCAUAAACUUUAUAGAGAAAUGCUUGGUGAACAUCCUCACAGAAAGAGGGAAGUGAAUCACUAUUUCAUGGUACAAAAUGACAAAAAAAGGAAGCGGGAAUAAAUGGACAUCUCUGUGGGCAACAUCAAGCAGGAAUCUGGGCCUUUAUUAGUAAGAAUGGCUAACACUCUAGAAACCUGCUCUCAGACCCAGCAGGGUUACAAAUGGAAGUCUGGAUAUGGGCAAAGUUUCUGCAUACAUAUGUAAAAAUGUAGCAAAUAUUGAUCUAAAUGAGACAGAGGACCACAUUUUUAGCUUUUGCACCACAGCUAAUUGAGGGUAUUCAGCCACACGAGUCAAAUGAUUCUGCUUUUAAGCAGAAUCAGUUGCAUAUAUUUUAGAAGAAAUCUGAAAUGACUCAAACUAAUAUCAUUUAUUGAAUUUAGGAUCAAAUUCUUACUAUUUUUAAUGGCACAAAUGGCCCAUAAUUUAUUCAAUCAAAAAUAUGGAUCCAAUUUACUUCCUCUUUGCUUAGAUUUCUAAGAAAAAAUAUCUAGGGAUUCAGAAUCAUAAGCAAGCAUUCCCUACAGCAUAAUUUGAUGUGAUCAUAUUAAACUGCAUAUUGUUUUAUUCCUUUGUCAGGUGUUUACUCCCUAUGUACCAUGUUUAAUGCCUGUUUUCAAUUCUCUCAAAUAUUAUAGGACUGAAAUUGAGGUAUACAGAUGGGGGGAGGUAAAAGAGAUGAAUAAAAACUAAUGGUGUUCUUAUUUAUUGACUUCUAGUACUUUCCGAAUGAAUUUUCCUCACCCUUGGUGUAAGUAAUCAUUUCCUUGUGUCUCUUUUCCUGGAGUUGAAACUGUAGUGAGAAUCUGAGUAAGUCAGAGGUGGGGUGGGGAGAGGGACAGAGAGAGAGGGAGAGAGAGAGACAUAGGGAGAAAGAGAAUUCCAGCACCAGCUGGCCAAACACACACACACACACACACACACACACACACCAGGAAAAAAAGUGAAAGAGAACAAAACACAAAAUAAAGAAAAAGUAUUGUUUGAAUUUUUGUUUACUGUGUAUAAUUUUGAAGUAUAACACCCCUUAAAGCCAUGUAAGAAAGUUCACAGUUCAUUGUGUUUCCUUGGAUUAAAGGAUUUCUUUCCUUUCACACAUAUGUGAUGUGAUAAUUUUAAUGGAAGAAUCUUAAGAAUCAAAUCCUAUCACAGUCUCUCCCUUAUUAUCUUCUUUUCUAUUCUGAUUUAUCCUGUUGUUUUUCAGCCCAGAAACUUAUACUUUAAUAUGGUCAUUGGUUUCUUAUGGGCUACAGUUUCAAAGAAAUAUACCAAGGCUUUUGUUCAGAACUGAUAACAAAGAUGUGUUUUCUGAAAUGAAAUUUGUAAAGUGAAAGUGAUAGUGUUACUCUCUCCAGAACUGAUUACAGCCUUUCUAUUCCCGAGGCUAGAAGGAAACCAUCAUUUAAAAAAAGUAAAUGCUUCUGGGAACAAGUGAGACUUUAUGUAGGAGGACAUAGAAUAAGUCAGCAGAAACGUGAAAAAAUGUUUUUCAGGAGAUUAAUUUAUAGUAACAACAAUUUCAUUGAACUUCGGGCUCAUGGAGUUCAGGCUUGACAAGGUGUAACAUUUACAGAUGUGUAAUCUAAACAAGCAAAAAAUAAUCUUGUAAGGGUUUCACUUCUUAACUCUUGGCAUGCAGAAUAGUACUAAGAAUCCAAUUUAUAACCCUGCCCCAUCAAAAUUCCUCCUUCCUUAUGUUAGAAAGUCCCAUCCCAGGUAUUUUAAUAAUAUAAAAAUUAUCCCCUCUUCCUCAAAUUCUUCCAAUAUCUCCUAGUACUCUGUGAUCUUCAUUUUGACCUAAUAAAUCAUUUUCUUCCUCCCCCUGUUUAUUCUCAUCUGUGUUUCUCUAUCAUAUUUUUGACUAUAAAUGUUAGCUCUAGUGUUACAGGUGACUCAUCUGGGAAAGGUAUUGAAAAGAGAUUGGUCUGGUGUAGGGGCAAAUUUUCAACUAACCAAACACACACACACACACACACACACACAAAUUGUAUGCAAUCUCAAUUAUAAUUAGUAUUGAGUUUCCAAGGUUGACUUUAGUAAAGAGAUAGCCAACUUCACUGUGGCUUUAAAAUACCUCAACAUUUCUAUUUUCAAAGCAUUUCACGUAGGAUCCAAGAGGCUUUCUGGCUCCUUUGUUGAUCAGUGUCUGCUGCUGGAUAAUCUGGCUUUGUUCUUCAGUAUACUUUUGAUCUCAAAUUUGCCUAAAGUUCCGUCCUAUUACUGUGAUAUGCUCUUAGUUGUGGAAUGAUAAAUCUGUUUGGAAACUGUUGACCAAUCAUAUUUCAUACUUCAUUAUUUUAACUAAUAUUUAUCUAGUGUUCAUGUAGAUUUUAUCAAAUAGAAAUAAACCUUGAUGUAAAAUCUUACUUAUCCUUUGUAAUCUCAUUUGAGCUCCCUCUUCUUUCAUAAGCCUUCCUUUAGUUCACAAGUCAUCACUUCCCAGGUAUUAAGGAAAUUAGUCAUUGUCACUCUCAGUGUUUCCACUCUCCUAUUCACUCAAGCCUUUUCCACUUGGUUUAAGGAAGCCAAGAUUUGAAUAAUACACAAAAUCUAGCUUCUGAGCCUAUGUUCUACUAUAGUCGUUAUGUUCUACUUCAAAGGAUAGAAAUAGAUGUUUUAAAAAUAUUAUUUAUAUUUUAUUUUUAAAUAGUUUUAUUAAGGGAUAUUAAUAUACAAUAAACUUUACAUGUAUAAGCAUAUAAUUUGACAUAUGUCUGCACCAGUAAUAACAUCAACACAAUCAAGCUAGUGAACACGUCUUCGCCUGGGAAGUUUCUUCCUGUUUCUUUGAAUCCCUUGCUCCCACUCUUUCCUGACUCUGGCCCUCUUUCUUGGUUAUACUGAUAUACUUUCUGUCACCAUAGCCUUACAUUUUCUAGAAUGUAAUGUAAGUAGUCUCAUAUAGAAUGUCAUCUUUUACUUUGCAUUAAUAACUUUGAGAUUUAUCAGUAUAGUUGUAUUAAUAAUCCAUUCCUUGUAAUUGUGUAUCAGUAAUAAUUUUGUAUAUCAAUAGCUCAUCUCUUUUAUUACUUAGAAGUAUGCUAUUAUAUGUGGAUAUACAUGAUUUUAAAUUUUCCUGUUGUUUAUGUUUUGAUUUGUUUAUCUUAUUGGCGCCAUUUCAAAUUAUUUGUCUGUGAGCAUUUGAAUCUACUUCUUAAUGUGGAUAUAUGCCUUCAAUUCCUUUGAAUAAAUAUUUAGGAAUAUAAUGACUGGCUAUUAUGGUGAACAUAUGUUUAACUUUUGGAAAAUUCCAGUCCAUUUUCCAAACCGGUUAUUCUGUUUUAUGUUUUCAAAAACAGUGAUUGAAGUUUCUUGACAACACUUGGCUUAUUUAUUGAAGACAACACUUCUUUCCUGUUAGGUACCCUUCUAGGUAAUUAGUAGUACGGAAUUGUGGGUUUGAUUUGCAUUUCCUUAAUGGAUAGAUGGUCAGCAUCUCUUUGCAUGAUUAUUUUCCAUCCAAAUGUCUUUUUCUGGUGAAGUAGCUGUUCAAAUAUUUGGCCUGUUUUUAAAGAUUGAGCUAUUUGUUUUCUUUUUAUGAACAUUUAAAGUUUGGAUCCAAUCUUUUAUAGAUAUAUAAUUUAUGAAUAUUUUCUUUAAGUCUGUGAUUUGACCUUUCAGCCUCUUUUAACAGUGUCUUUUGUAGAAGUUUUCACUGAUAAAUUUAAUUUUGUCAAUGUUUUUACUUUUAUAUAUCAUGAUUUUGGUUUUGUAUUGUGAAAUUUUGUCAGAUCCAAGGUAACAAAGAUUUUCUCCUGUGCUAUCACAAAUGCAUGUGAGAUUUUAGCUAUUAAAUUUUCCUGAAGUACUCCUUUAGUUUCAGAAUACAAAUUUUAAUGUUCUCUUUAUUUUCAUUCACUUUAAAAUACACAUAAAUUUUCCUUUUGAUUUUUCUUUCCUUUAAGUUUUUUAGUCUAUGGGUUAUUUAGAAGUAUAGUAUUUAUUUAGUCUAUAAUAUUUGGGAGUUUCCCAAAUAUCCUUAUAUUAUUGAGUUUUAUUUUAAUUUGUCUGUACUCAGAGAACAUAAUUUUGACUUUAAAUUAUGAUUUUUUUGAUAUUUAUUUUAUGUCCAGAAUAUGAUUGAUAAACAUUAGUGUACUAAAUAUUCAAUGUAUAUAUGAAAAUAAAGUUUAUUCUCCUAAUUCUUGCACAGAAUGCUCUAUUAAUAUUAAUUGUCUUGCUGUUUUCAGGGUUCUGUGAUUUAUAAUUUUCAAGUUAGGUCAUCAUUUCUUCAAUACAUCCCCAUGUCUCAAAUAACACAGUUAUUGGGCCACAUGAAGUUAUUCUACUAUUCAUUUUGGUUUUAGUCAUCGUCUUUUGAGUAAUUUUUCCAUGUUUCAUUUGAAUCAUUUUUUUUUUUUUUGCUAGGACUCCAAGCUUGCUAAUAAUGUUUUCCUCUGAACCUGCUCUUUAACAAAUAUAGUGUGUUUGUCAUCUGAGGCAUUUGGUUUCAUGUCUAGACAAUAGAUAAUUGGUGUGUGUAUGUGUAUUUUCCACAUUUCUAUCAACAUGUUCAACCUUCCCUCAACUAUUUUUAAUAUAUAGAAUAUAGUUGUAAUAAAUGUUUUGAUGCUCUUAAUUUUAUAAUCUUUGUUAGUUUUGAAUUGUGUUCUAUUAACUUUAAAAAAAAAACUUUUUGUGGGUCACAUUGUUUUAUGUCUUUGCAUGUUUGAUAAUUUUUUUACUGAUACCAGGCAUUUUGAAUUUUACCCUGUUCAGUGCUACCUACUUCAUAUUCCUAUUAAUUUCUUGAUUUUGUUUUUGUGACACAGUUAAUUUACUUUGAAUCAGAUUAGAUCUUUUCAGUUCUUUAAAAUUUGUUACUUGGAAACUGGCAUUGUAUGUAGGGAAGUAAUACUCAACUGGCCAUGAUUAUUGCUUUUACAGAACAACUGUCUGAAGACAUUUUUGUUUUGUUUUAUUUCUUCUUUUUUUUUUUUUUUGGUAGUUGUAUAUGGACAGAAUGCCUUUAUUUAUUUUUAUGUGGUGCUAAGGAUUGAACUCAGUGCCUCACACAUGCUAGGCAAGUGCUCUGCCACUGAGCUACAGCUAUAGACCUUCUUUUUAAAAAAAUACUAAUAAAAAAAUUAAAAAAUAUAUCUAUAUAUAAACUUUUUUCUAAUUAGUUAUAUAUGACAGCAGAAUGCAUUUUGUUUCAUUGUUCACUAAUGGAGCACACUUUUGAUGGUCAUAAGGAGUUGGGGGAUUAGAAUCUAAUGGGUACAUAACAGGGAUAUUGCUAAAUAUCUUACAAUAUAUAAGGAAGCCCCCCAAUAACAAAGAAUUAUCCAAACCAAAAUCAACAGAGCCCAAAUUGAGCAUUCUUGUUCUCAACUUUGAGAAGCUAAUAUGUAGGAAAUCUUAUUUGAUUUUCCUCUUUCAAUUUGUUCCUGUCUCCCUUCACCUAGCAUACUAAAACAUCUGGAUUUUUUAAUUCCACUGUAGCAUUUAAACUUAGAGUAACCACAUAAAUGGGAUCCUGUUAUACCAUUCUUAAACCAGAGAGGACUUGAAGGUCCCAACACAUAGAAAUAUUUGAAAGGGUGGAAAUACUAAUUACUCUGAUUUUUAUCAUUAUAUAUUAUAUGCAUGUAUCAAAUUAUAAUACUGCACCCCAUAAGUAUGUGCAGAUAUUGUAUAUCAAUUUUUUUAAAAGGCUCAAAGUGGUCUAAUUAAAGCACAUGCCAUUCUUCUUGUCACUCACUUAAACUCCAUUAUUGGACAUUGACAAACUUCUUACUGCUCUCUUAAGCCAAAGCAAGGCUAUACCAUAUGGAACUUCAAACUGUUUUGUAGGAACUGGUAAAACUAUGAAACACAUUGAGAAGCUGUCAUAAUGCACUUCAGUUUUAGUCUGUUAUAGAAAUACAGACAAUGGCAUUCAAUACCCAUAUUUUUGAAAUUUCAGCAGAACUUUGUAUCACCCAAAUUAAAACUGAAGAGUAGUGGUUCAAUUGAAGUCAACAACUCUAAUGAAGUGAGAAUGUAAUUGACAAAUGCUUUAUUUUUUAACAAUGUACUGGAGACUGUACUUGCCAAACUUUGUUUCUUAAAAUUCAUUAAAAAAAUCAAACAUUUAAACAAAGAACCAAAUUUUAUUCCCAUUUUUCUAUUUUUUCCCCCCACAGUUAGCAUUGAGGUCAGGAAUAAUGAACAGAAAUACACAUAUCAUGACAGUUAUUCUAUGCUGCACCUCUUCAGACAUAAUUAAAACUUAUUGAAUUUCUUUCUAUAUCUCAUUUAAAACUUGAAGCUUUUUUUAUAGCAGUACUUAUCUAACAAAAAUUAUGAGGGAAAAAACCCCUCAAUUUGUGGGAUAUAUUCCAUAUUAAUUAAGGGAAGGGGAAAAAGAAUUCAAGCUUCAAUUUUAAAACAUAAGUGCUGUGAUUUGCACUUUACUAAAAAUUCAGUUUUCAAAUAGAAAACACUUAAAUUCUAAUAUAAAAAUAAAUAAAUUGAAAGCUAACUGAAGACCACAAAAUUUCUUUCAUUUCUUUUUAGUUUUUUAUUUUAUUUGAUAGUUAAAAAACGCUGUAGGUAUCAUGUGUGUACUCCAUACAAACCAGAUUAUAGUCAAUUCUGUUGUGGUUUUUUGGUGUUCUUCCUGGCCUGCUCAUCAGGAAUCUUGUGAAUUUUAUAUUUGCAAUACACAAAAAUAAAUGAAAGGUAGUUUUAUAAUAUAAGUAUAGUUUUGAUAUACGUAUAUUUAGAAGUUUGUUUAUUUUCAAAUUUUAUAAGACUUAUACUGCAAGUAGUUUUCUAGGACUAACUGUUCUUUCUAUGCUUCGGAUAUUUUCUUUUCUUUUUCUUUUUUUUUUUUUUUUGUUUUUUUGCUAUGGGGCAUUGAACUCAGGGACACUGGAUCAUUGAGCCACACCCCUACCUUUGUUUUGUAUUUUACUUAGAGACAGGGUCUCACUGAGUUGCUUAGCACCUCACUUUUGCUGAGGCUGGUUUUGAACUCACAAUUCUCCUGUCUCAGCCUCCAAAGCCUCUAGGAUUACAGGCGUGCACCACUGUGCCCAGCCUCUAAGAUCUUUAUGUAUUGCUGUGUAGAUCUGUCCAUGUUCAUAACUAUUGUAUUACAUAAUAAACUUAAAUAACUCAUGUAUCCAUUCUUCUCUUGAGGUAUCUAUGUUAUUCCCAAUAAUUUCUUUUUUUUUUGUUUUUGUUUUUAAGAAACAAAUAUAUCAGAAAAAUAUUUAUUGUGCUCCUUCUAUAGGUUCCAUAACUGAUAAAGUAAUGAAUGAUAAAGUUCAGUUUGCUUGAUGCUCUUUUUUUAUUAUUUAUUUUUUUAAUUAUUAGUUGUUCAAAACAUUACUUAUAAGAAAAAUAAAUGUUGCUAUGGGCAUAUGCAUAUAUCAUAUACAUAUGAAUGGAAUGGUUAUAUUCUAAUAAUGUUAAUUCAUACCUAUCUUUAUAAGAAAAUGGAUUCUCUCAAAUUAUGGUACAAUUUACACUCCCACCAGCAAUUCGUAAGUACUCAACAUUCUAGCCAAUGACUGAUUUUGGUGGACUUGAUUUAUGCAUGUGUAAUAGUUGAACUUGACGAUUUUGAUUCUUCUAUUAAUUUUCUAUUUGAAAUCUUUUGCUUAUUUAAUCAUUGGUUAUUAAGUUUUUUUCUUAUUUAUUUAUAGGACUUUUUUGUAUAUUCUGAAUAUUCAUCCUUUCAGUUAUGUUAGUUAUAAAUAUCGUUUCCUAGUUUGUGACUUAUAUUUCACUUUAUUUCAUGCAUAUUUUAAUCAAGAGGGUUUUUUUAAGGGUAGUUGAAUUUAUCAAUCUUUUAUUUAAUGAUUGGAAUACUUCUAUAUAAUUUAGGAAAGCUUUAUGGAAGUAAGUUUUUUUGUAAAAGUUUAAAAUCUUUGUUUACAUUUAUAAUUGAUUUUUGUGUAUAGUGAGACAGGAGCCUAAAUUCCCUUUUUUCCAAUAUGGAUAUCUAACUGUCUGAACACUACUCAUUGCACAAGAAACACUAUUCACUUCCUCAGUAAUUUUGAGUGCUAUAGUAUACCAUCAAGUGUUUCCAUGUAUGUUUCUUGGCUCUCUAAGGUAAUCUCUUGAUUUAGUUAUCUAUGCCUAAGUUGUUACAUAAAAUUAAUAUACGUAGCAUUACAUUAAGUUUUAAUAUCCAACAAGGAAAUUCUCAUCAACUUUUUUAUUCAAGAAAUCCUGGCAAUGAUUGAGAAUUCACUUUUCCAUACAUAUUUUGGAAUUUGUAUGUAAAGUUCUUUGCAUACCCUGCAUGCAUUUUGAACCUAAAUGCAUUUAAAUUGUAAAUAAAUUUUAAAAGCAGACAUUCUUACGAUAUUAUUUUCUUGUGUAUGAAUCUUGCAAAGCUGCUCAGUUAUUUAGAACUUAAAAAAAUUUAAAUAUGUGAAGAUUUAAUUUAUAAAGAUUUAAACACCUUUUGUGAUACAUAUUUUUCAGUGGAUUACAGUCAGAAUUAUUUGCAUAGCUGUAUUCUGGCUUUAGAAUUUCCCUACAUUGGAUGUUUCAUUUCUGAUUGUUCAGAAAUGCCUCUGAAACUACUGUAUAUUUUAAAGGAUUUAGUUUUAUGGCAUAAUCAUAUGAUAACAAAUAAUUCUUUAAAACAUCUUGUUUGUCCUCUGCUAAAAGUAUUUCAUUGCAGUGACUUUACAGUUUUCAUGUCCAAGGCUGUACAUAUAAGAUGGGAAAGGAAAUCAAAACAUGGUCAAGUCUAUGAGAGGGGAAGAAAUAGGGCCACAGAUUUUAACUUUGAGUUGGUUUUGAAGCUUUAGUGUAGGAAUUCAGUCUGGUCUAUGGAGAAAACACAUCCCACACAGAAAGACAAUGUUAGGUGAAACUUAGUACACAAAUGACAGUGAAAGUCUCGAGGCUUGUAGAGCUACAGAGAAUGGGAAAUUAUUGACUUUUAACAUGAUCCUGAAGAGUGUGGGAUGGCUGAUUGGAAUUUGGGGCAUUAUCCUAUGAGCACGAGGAGUGUGGAAACAAAUAGGUGAAAUAAUGUCAUUUAUUUUAAAAUUUUAAAAUGUUAUUUUGGUAACUAUGAAUUAAAUUCAAGUAAUACAUAAUGGAGGCAGAUAAAAUAAACAAAUGCUAUUUGUAAUAAGUGUCUAGGAAGCAGUUAUCAAAUAGAUAAAAUAUGAUGCCCUAAUGUGUCUUAGGUAGAACCUAAGCAGGAAAGAAAUUGGGAACACAUGUAUUUAGAGACCGAAAAUGAGUGAAUGGAAAUGGGAAAAAUUAGAAGAAAAUGGUGUCAUGGAAGAUAAGGAAAUAACAUUUCAGAAGAAGUAACCAAAAAUAUUAGAUUGUGCGGAGAGGUAGAGUAAGCUGUUAAAAUAAUUAACUGGGAAUCAAUUAAGCUGAGGAGGUUUGGGUGCCCUGAGUUACUCUGUAAGCAAACCAACACACAACUCAGUAUAUAAAUGGCCAUUUCUUAUGAACACAAAACUUUAGCUUGGCCAAUCGCAAGUGAACAAAAAAGUGUUGGUUAAAAAGUGAAGGGACUUUACACAGGAAUGAUUCAAGCCAAACCACUGCUCUACUUUAAACAAUGAUGAUGUCUGUGCCUCACUUCUGCACUGAUCCUACAAGCACCUUUCCCUCCAGCGACUUCAGUGCAGCCCUGAACCACUUGCAGUUGGGUGUUGCAGGUCUAUGGAUAGCCAUCUGACCAAAGGAGGACCUUAAAACUUUAAUGCACCGAAGCUGAUAUUUAAGAAAAGAGAAGAGGAGAGGUUAAUAUUUAUCACAUUGUAAAUGCCAGUUCAAAACGAGGAUGCCAUGGAUGGAAAGAUAAAUAAUUUCAGGGCAUGAAGACAGCAGAAAACCAGAAGCACAGUGAAAUACAGAAAUGACUGGGAGUUAAAACGUCUGAAGGGAAUAUGGGGUUUAUUUUUCAAAAAAUACUGGGGAAAAAUUAAUGGAGAGGAGGCAGGAGCUGGAGGAAUAAAAAGGAUCAAGUGAAAGGGGUUUAAGGACCUGCAGGACUUGAACAUUUUUGAAGAUAAAAUUCAAGGAAUUAUAGUGGGAAAGGUUGAAGAUGCAUAAGGAGCAAUUGAUGGCAUCUCAAGGUAGAGGUGACUAGAAGAGCCAGGAGGCAAGGAGCACAGUCAAGAACUCAGGAGCAGUCACCUUAGCCAGGAGACCCUUUGAAAGCAUCAAGGUGGAGUGGAAAGUAGGGGAGUAUCAUAAUAUUUAUUUUCUCAUGUAAACAUGAAGUGAAAUCAUCUGCUCAGAGUGAAGUGGGUGUAAGUAGGCUGAGUUAGUGGUGCCAGAAAACUGAUGAAUGGCCAGGACAGAACAGGAAGGGAGCUUGUGAUUAAAUAAUAAAGAUUAGAGAGGAAUAGUGACAUCAGUUGCUCAUGGCUGUUAGUGGGAAAUGGCUGAGUAAAUCUCAGUUUGGCAUCCAUUUUUAUUUGCAGAUAGAUUGAAAUGAUACUCAUUUUCUCUUACUGAUUACCUAAAGUGAAAACAUGAUUAUUUUUAAAGAUUUAAAACCAAUUCAUUUUCCCCAGUGGACCUAAACAAAAUUUUCAGCUUAAUUAUAUUAGGAGUAAUAUUCUGUUGAUAAUAAAUUUCAAUUAUCUGUCUCUGAAAUUUAUCAUUCAAAGCAAUUUAAAUGAAAAUAUUUAAACAUUUAGAAAAAUACCUGAAGAAAAUUAAACCUUGGGAAUCUAUAUAAUUAUGAUAAUAUUUUACUUUUAUAGAAUCCACUAUUUGACUAUAUCUAAUUUCUUGUAUCGUAAGUAAAAAUAAUGUUAGAUAUUCAAAGGAAAAGAGAUUUUUUUCAACAACUAUUUAUUGAAAACUUAAUAAAUGUUCACCUCAAGGAGACCUCAGAAUAGACUGAGAAAAUGGCUAUACAAUGAUGUGUGGCAAACCUGGAGCUACAUUUGAUUUAAUUUUUUUAACUUCAUGAAGUGGAUAAUUUUAUUCCUAUAAUACAAAUGAGGACACUGAAGCUUAAGAAGGUUAAAUGAGUGAUUUACUUGAAGUCCCAGUGCUGAAAAGGGGAAAAGCUGAGCUUUGGUAUACCAGUGACUUAGCACUUGGCCAGCUUCAUGUCUUUUUCCAUGUAUAGAUUUGGUAACCCAAAGACAGGUAGUUGGCCUGAUAUGUGGCAUAAUGUAGAGGAUUCCUAAAAUAGUUGAAAACUUGUAAGUGGUAUCUAGAAAGAAUUUAGUAAUCAAUAUUUAUCAAAUAUGUAUUUUUUCAUUAAAUAUAAUUUGUAUUCUACCAUAUAUGCAUUUUAAACACUUGAUUUAAUUUCUUUCAACUCCACUGCUAGUCUUUUUCCCCCCUUUUAUAGACUCUCUGUGCUACUGUCCAGUAUCCAGUAGGCAAUAAGUUAUGGAGCAUGGCAAAAAAAAAAAAAAAAAAAGAAUGAGCUUUAGUUGGAUAAGAACAGCAGUAGGAAGGAAGGUGUAUUAGUCAGCUUUUCGUCACUGUGACCAAAAUAGCUAAGAACAACUUAGAGGAGGAAAAAGUUAUUUUGGGUUUACAGUUUCAGACAUUCAAUCCAUGCCCAACUGACUUCAUUGCUCUGUGCCUGCAGUGAGGCAGAACAUUAUGAUGGAAGUAUAUGGCAGAGGGGAAGCUCAGGACAUGGCUGCCAGGAAUUGAGAGAGGAUCCAGGGACAAGAUAUUGUGCAGGGAAUGCCCUCAGAACCCAUUUCCUGCAUCCAUGCCCCACCCACUGUCGUUUACCACUCAGAAGUAUUUUCAGAUUAUUAAUCCAUCAAAUGGAUUACUACAUUGAUGAAGUUACAACUCUUUUAAUCUAACUAACCAUGUCACCUCUGAACAUUAGCUUUUUGGGGACAUUAAAGAUCCAAACCAUAAUAGGAGAUGACAGAACGAAGCAUAAAAAUCAAGAAAACAUGUUUGUCUUCCCAGAAAAGGAAAUGUGAUUAGAAGCAAAUUAGGCUGAUGGGGACCAGAUCAGAAUUUCAAAUGUCGUCCUAAGGAUCUUGGACAUGUUAUUUAUUUAUUUUUGGUUUGUUUUAGGAAAAAAAAAUGGAAAUUCAAAUUUGGCAAAGAGCCUAGUUGUUGUAGGGCAGUGGGGUAAGUUUCAGACAGGCUAAAGAAAGUGCCCAGAGACAGCAGGGGAGACUUAUCAGGCUGUUCCAAGAAGAGAGGGGCUAAUAGUACCUCUGUCCUUCACAGUACUUUCCCAACAAGUGUGUCCUGUCCCUCAUGGUUUUUGACCAGCUGGAUGAGUAACAUGUAUCCUUUCCAUAGUCCCUCAGUUCUACAUUCCCAUUCAGAAAGGGGGAUGCAGAAGCAGUGACAUCAUCAGCAUUACUUUGCUGGCAUGACCAGCAUCCCAAGGAGCAACUGUCCUGGCAGACAAGCGGGGAAGUAGCUUUCUACAGACAACAUUAACUUGCACUAGUUCCCAGCGUGCAUAAGAGAAAGCCAGUGUCCUUCAAAGUAGUGUGUAUCUGGGCUUUCUAGCCCAGGCUUGCUCUCUCUUUUCUCUUAACUUGGCUAGGUUUUGGGGGAAAGCAGAAUACAACAGACACUAGUAUGGCAAUAUGUAAAUCAAUGGAUGUGUAACUGAUGUGAUUCUGCAAUUUGUAUACGGGGUAAAAAUGGGAGUUCAUAACUCACUUGAAUCAAAGUGUGAAAUAUGAUAUAUCAAGAACUAUGUAAUGUUUUGAACAACCAACAAUAAAAAAUUAAAAAGAAAGAAAGAAAGAAAGAGGGCAUUCAAGGACAUGGUAUUUCACUGUUCUCUUUUUCUUUAGGGAUGAUACUGCUUAACAAAACUCUUACUUGAACACAAAUGAAUAAACUUUGAUAAAAAUGUACUACUGCAUAACUACUCAAAAUUUCACAUCAUUUUUUAUUACACAGUCCCCAGACAGACAUAUAGAGAGAUCAUGAGGAGUAAUGGAAUUCGAGGUUUGCUCAGAGUCAAUUUUUACUCUGGGCUUGCUCGUUAACUUGUGGCAUACAGAACCUGCAGUAGAGAAGUGGAACUAGGUCUUUUAUUCCAUUUGACAGUACUCCUUACUGCACAACACUCUUUUCUUUCAAACUUUUUAAAAUUUUGUCCUCUCUAGGCUUUUUUGAUUGUGGAAAAAUACAUAAAACCCAUUAUCUGAAAUAAUCUUAAGCAUGUUACAGUGGUGUUAACUUUGUGCAUUUGGUUGUACAGUAGAUCUGUAGAGUGUUUUCAUCUACAACACUGGAGUACUGCCCUUUCCCCAAUCCCCUGGUCUUCCCAGCUUCCAUUCCAAUUUCUGUUUCAAAGAGUUUGAGUACUUUAAAUGCCUCCCAUAAAUGGAACCAUAAAGAAUUUUUCUUUUUUGUGAUUGGAUUUUUUACUUACCAUAUGCUUUUGGGUUAUCUGUGUUAAAGCAAACAACAAUUAUUUAGUAUAUUAUUAUAUAUUAUUUAUAUAAAAUAACAUUAUUUAAAAUAAUAUUGCAUGGUAUGUAUAUGCCACAUUUUCCUUAUCCAUUUAUCCAUCAAUAAGGAACAUUUAGAUUGUAUCCACCUCUUGGCUGCUGUGAAAAAUAUUGUAAAGAAUAUGGAUACAAAAAUAUCUUUCAGACACUCUGAUUUUAAUUCUUUUAGAUACAUGUAAUAAGAAGAUGGAUUAUCAGAUUAUAUGAUAGUUCUAUUUUAAAUUUUUUGAGGAUGCUCCAUAUAUACUUUUCUAUAAUGGCUACACCAUUUUAUAUCCAACCAACACUGUAGAAUUCCAGUUUCUCCAUCUCUCACAAACACUUGUUAUUUUUUAUUAUUAUUCUUGAUAGUGUGAUAGUGGCCAUCCUAAUGUGUUUGAUUACUGUCUUAUGGUGAUUAUGACUUGUAGUUCCUAAUGAUUAAAGAUGAGUAUCUUUUCAUAUGCUUAUUGACUAUUUGUAUAGCUGCUUUGAAGAAAUGUCUAUUCAAGUCUGCUGCUCAUUUCAUAAUCAUAUUUCUUUUGUCAUUGAGUUGUGGGAUUUUAUUAUAUAUUCUGGAUAUUAACUUCUGAUCAAGUGUGGGUUUAUAAAUAUUUUUUCUUUUUUUUUAAGAGAGAGAGAGAGAGAGAGAGAGAGAGAGAGAGAGAGAGAGAAUUUUUUAAUAUUUAUUUUUUAGUUUUCAGCAGACACAACAUCUUUGUUUGUAUGUGGUACUGAGGAUCGAACCUGGGCCGCACGCAUGCUGGGCAAGCGUGCUACAGCUUGAGCCACAUCUCCAGCCCUGUAGAUAUUUUUUCUAAUCCUGUAAGUUGCUUUUCACUCUUUUGAGUCUUUCCUUGGCUGUAUAUAAGGUAGUUCAAUUUAUUUUUGCUUUAGCUGCCAAAGCUUUUAGUGCCAUAUACAAAAAACAAAUGCCAAACUCAACAUAAGAAAAAUUUACUUCUGUUUUCUUGUAGGAGUUUUGUAGUUUCGGGUCAUGUGUUGCAUUCUUUACUCUUAUUUUGAGUUAAUUUUUAGUCAUGGUGUAAAGGUCUAAUUUAUGUUUUUUACAGAUGGGUAUCAGGCUUUCCCAGCAGCUUUUCUUAAACUGUCCUUUGCCCAGGGUAAAUCUGUGCCAUCCCAGUCAGUGAUCUUUUGACCACAUAUGUGAGAUUUUUUUCUGGGCUCUUUUUUGUUCCGUUGGUCAAUAUAUUUGUCUUCAUGCUAAUUCCAUACUGUUUUGAAAAUUGUGACUUUGUAAUAUGUUUUGGAGUUGUUGACCCCAGUUUUGUUUUUGUUUUUUUGUUUGUUUGUUUUAAGAUUAUUUUGGCUAUCCCAUAUGAAUUUUAGGAUUUUUUUUUCUAUUUGUGCAAAAAAAAAGUAACAGUGGAAUUUUCUAGAGAUUUCAUUUACUCUAGGGAUUUCUUUGGAUAGCCUGGACAUUUUAACAGUUCUUUUUCUUUUUCUUCAUCUUCCUCCUCCUCCUUCUUCUCCAUGGAAUGUUUUUCCAUUUAUUUGUGUCUGUUUAAAUUUCUUACAUCCAUGUUUUGUUGUUUCCAGUGUAUAAGACUUCUGCCUCUGUAGUUUGUUCCUAAAUAUUUUAUACUUUUUGAUGUUACUGUAAUGAAAUUAUCUUCUUAAUUUUCAGAGAGUUUGUUCUUAGUGGAUGUUAACACUUAUGAUUUUUGUGUAGCUUUGCUGAAUUUAUUAGUUCUAACAUUUCUUUGUGAAAUAAUUAGAGCUAUUUACAUAUAAAACUGUGUUAUCUGCAAAUAGAUAUAAUUUUACUCCUUCCUUUGCUAUUUGGACCCCUCUUCUCUUUUCUUACCUAUUUGCUCCAGUUAGAACUUCAAUAAUAUUUUGAAUGAAAGUGGCAAGGGAGGACAUCUUGCCUUAUUCUUGGCCUUAAAGGGGGGAUCUUUUCUUUUCUGUUUUUAUACUUUUACCUUAUCUCUAUCCUCCUCUUCUGAAAAACUCUAGCAUCACUUCUUCAUCCAGUUAUACUUUAAAGCUUUAAAACAAAUGCUAAUGAUAAACACAUAUUAAAACUGUAAAAAAAUACAAUUUUAUUAGUAUGCUAAUUGUCCUAAGAAAAUUCAGUUUUGAGGAAAAAAUUUAUAAUUUUAAUAUAUUGUAUUUAUGCUUACUUUGCAGAUUUUUAUGUAAAUGUUUAAAUUUAUAUAUGACAGCAGAAUGCAUUACAAUACUUAUUACAUAUAUAGAGCACAAUUUUUCAUAUCUCUGGUUGUAUACAUAGUAUAUUCACAACAAUUUUUGUCAUCUUACACGUACUUUGGAUAGUAAUGAUCAUACACAUUGCACCAUCAUUGCUAACCCCCUGCCCACUCCCUUUCCCUCCAACCCCUCUGCCCUAUCCAGAGUUCCUCUAUUCCUCCCAUGCUCCCUCUACCUAUCCCACUAUGAAUCAGCCUCCUUAUAUCAAAGAAAACAUUCAGCAUUUGGUUUUUUGGGAUUGGCUAACUUCACUUAGCAUUAUCUUCUCUAACUCCAUUCAUUUACCUACUUUGCAACUUUUUGUUUUGUUUUGUUUCUGCAAAAUUUUCUGCAGCCUGAGGGGUCCUGUUAAAAUAUUUCCAGUAAACAUGAAUUCAUAAUUGAAUUUCUCAUAUGAUUCUACUGUCAUCAACACUAUUUUAGGGUCCUGAUACUUCAUAUCAGAAAUGUGGUUUCUAUGGAUCUGAAUUGUAAGGAGUAUUGAGAAGUGGAAUGAACAAAUAAAUAAACUUGAAAAUAUUAACUAGUAGUGAUAACUAUUAUUUUAUAUUAUGAAUAAAACAUAUGUACUUUCAUAUGAGACUUCAAUGAAUAGUUGGUGUCACCAAUCCCAUUAUUCCAGUGACACUUGCCCCAUCCCAACACGCACUUCCUUUAAGCACAAAUUUAGGAACACCCCAACUACAGUCCCACUCAGGGUUUCUGGGUAUUUCUUGUCAUUGUGACUUCAUAGACUCAUCCAAUAUAGAUCUUACAAACUUUGCAUCUUGCUUGAUAGGUAGCAGUUGAGAUGUGGUACACAUAGAGUAACAUCUCUGGCUCUGAGAGGAAGAUAAAUUGGAGGAGAUCAUUCUCAUGUUUAACAGGUAUGUC